UACAGAGGGUGCAAACGUUGUUCGGAAUCACUGGGCAUAAAGCGUACGUAGGCUGCCUCGUAAGUGUCUGAUGAAAUCCCACGGCUUACCCGUGGAACGGUCUGGCAUACUGCGAGGCUCGAGGAUGGUAGAGGAGAGCGGAACUCUUGGUGGAGCGGUGAAAUGCGUAGAUAUCAAGAGGAACACCGGUGGCGAAGGCGGCUCUCUGGUCCAUGACUGACGCUGAGGUACGAAAGCCAGGGGAGCAAAC
rnacentral:rRNA from 1 species